rnacentral:lncRNA from 1 species
UUAUUCCCCAACAAUUACAAGACUUGAAUCAGUCCCUCAUAAUGAGAGAGUAGUGGCCAAUAGAUAUCCGUCACAACAUCUAUAAAAGGAAGAUGAAGACCAUCCAAACCGCAACUUCAUCAUCUAACUAAUUACUCUCUCUUUUAAAAUAAGAAUCCAUGCGUUCACAUUAUAUGGAUAUGUCUAACUCUCUUUGCAUAAAUGAAAAUGAUUGCUCUCAUCUCAGAGCAUCAAAGAAGGCCAAGAAGAAGAAGAAGAAGAAGAAGGUGGUGCUAAUAAUCUUGAUGAUGAUUAUAUGGGAAACAAAUCUAGAAACAACCAGCAUGUACUAUUUAAUUUUUACUUUCAUAGUUGAGAAGCAUAUAUAACUCAAAGAGCAUCUCGUUAAUAUUCUUCUUUCUUCUUGUCACUUUACAAUUCGAUGCAACUCUCUGAACAUACACUUAGCUAGGCCGCGUUGGUAAAAAGCCAUGUCUAUCAUGAAAUAACAGUUAUAACUAGGAAAUAAAUAUUGAUAAGUUUUAUAAAUUUUUUAUCAAACCAACUACAAGAUCAAACCACUCUUAACUUCCUAAUUCGUGGUAAAAUUAAUAAAUGUAUAAUUUUCUUUUUUGCAGGCAAUAGGUGUUGGAAUUUAGUCCUGAAUGGAACACUCAUUUGAGCAAGAUAAACAAAGUGACUUGAGUGUCUGAAGAACAGGUUUCUUAUAAGAUUUUAGAACCUCGACCUCGGACCUUCGUUACUUUCUUAAUAAGUUGUCUUUACUUUUCUAUAUACACAAUUUAAUUAAACGUUACUUUAUUUUAAAAAAAAAAUUUUACAUGCCAUACAAUAAAUACAAACUAAGUAAAUAUUUUAUGCGAUCUCAUACCCUUCACAAGCCUUGUAAAAUUAAUUGAAUGUAAAAGCAAUGUAAGCGAGAAAGAAAGGAGUUGUAUUGAUCACUGAAUUAAUGGUGGUUGCAGAAUUGUAACGCAGAUCGUGGUGAUUGAUUUUAGGAUUGUUGUCUUUAACCGUUGUAACUUGUAAAGACUAGACUUGUAUCAGAUUAAUUUUGAAUCAAUAGUUGAUUACGAUUUACAAAUUGACAACCAUACCAUUAAAU